rnacentral:rRNA from 1 species
AGUGAACGCUGGCGGUAGGCCUAACACAUGCAAGUCGAACGAGUGGCGGACGGGUGAGGAAUAAAUCGGAAUCUACUCUGUCGGGGGGGAUAAAGGAGGGAAAAUGAAGCUAAUAACGCAUACGAUUGAAUGAGCCGAUGUCGGAUUAGCUAGUUGGCGGGGUAAAGGCCCACCAAGGCGACGAUCCGUAGCUGGUUUGAGAGGAUGAGCAGCCACACUGUAACUGAGACACGGUCCAGACUCCUACGGGAGGCAGCAGUGGGGAAUAUUGGACAAUGGGCGCAAGCCUGAUCCAGCCAUACCGCGUGGGUGAAGAAGGCCUUCGGGUUGUAAAGCCCUUUUGUUGGGAGGCGUUACCAACAGAAUAAGCACCGGCUAACUUCGUGCCAGCAGCCGCGGUAAUUC